CUGUGAGUCGAGAACGGCCAAGUGUUUUAAGUUCGUCUGUGAGAUCGGUGAGCUGCAGGCCGGCCAGACUGCGACCAUACAGGUGCGCGCCCGUCUGUGGAACAGCACGUUUGUAGAGGACUACAGUCACUUAGACUACAUUAAAAUUUUAUCGCACGCCGAGUUGAAGAUAGACCCGUCACUAAACGUGCAACAGAACACAAGCAACGACAGAGCAUACGUAGUAACGAAGGCACUACCUGAUGCUCAGUACGUAGAUGUGGAGCGGCCCGUGCCACUAUGGGUGAUCGUAGUCUCCGUACUAGCUGGAAUCAUAGUCCUCAUCCUCCUCGUUCUCGUUCUAUUUCUCUGCGGAUUCUUCAAGAGGUCCCGGCCGAAGACGGAGACAGUUAACGUGGAGAAGAGUGCCUGGCAAUGAUGAAGGAGAGGCUGCUAUGUGAAUCAAGGAGAGGCUGCGUGAUGGAGAGGCUAUGUGAAUCAAGGAGAGGCUGCGUGAUGGAGAGGCUGUUAUGUGAAUCAUGGAGAGACUGCGUGAUGGAGAGGCUAUGUGAAUCAUGGAGAGACUGCGACACGUACAAGCGUGACGCGGCGGCGGGGGGCGGAAAUCACGGAUGAUACGACCCUCCUGGAUACCAGAGAGAGAGAGAGAGCCGAGAGAAGAAGGGAGAGGGAGAGAGAGAGAGAGAGAGAGCGAGAGAGAGAG